rnacentral:lncRNA from 1 species
GCUUCCUUCAGGAGCUCUGUAAGGCAGGCCUGGUAGUGACAAAAUCUCUCAGCAUUUGCUUGUCUGUAAAGGAUUUUAUUUCUCCUUCACUUAUGAAGCUUAGUUGGAUAUGAAAUUCUGGGUUGAAAAUUCUUUUCUUUAAGAAUGUUGAGGCCAGAUGCAGUGGCUCACGCCUGUAAUCCCAGCACUUUGGGAGGUCGAGGCAGUAGAUCAUGAGGUCAGGAGAUCAAGGCCAUCCUGGCUAACAUGGUGAAACCCCAUCUCUACCAAAAAUACAAAAAAAUUAGCUGGGCAUGGUGGCACGCACCUGUAGUCCCAGCUACUCGGGAGGCUGAGGCAGGAGAAUGGCAUGAACCCAGAAGGUAGAGCUUGCAGUGAGCCAAGAUCGCACCACUGCACUCCAGCCUGGGCAACAGAGCAAGACUCCAUCUCAAAAAAAAAAGAAUGUUGAAUAUUUACCCCCACCCUCUUCUGGCUUAUAGGGUUUCUGCAGAGAGCUCCCCUGUUAGUCUGAUGGGCUUCCGUUUGUGGGUAACCCCACCUUUCUCUCUGGCUGCCCUUAACAUUUUUUCUUUCAUUUUAACCUUGGUGAAUCUGACAAUUAUGUGUCUUGGGGUUGCUCUUCUCAUGGAGUAUCUUUGUGGUGUUCUCUGUAUUUCCUGAAUUUGAAUGUUGGUCUGCCUUGCUAGGUUGGGGAAGUUCUCCUGGAUAAUAUCCUGAAGAGUGUUUUCCUACUUGGUUCUGUUCUCCCCGUCACUUUCAGGUACACCAGUCAAACGUAGAUUUGGUCUUUUCACAUAGUCCCAUAUUUCUUGAAGGCUUUGUUCGUUUCUUUUCACUCGUUUUUCUCUAAUCUUGUCUUCUUGCUUUAUUUCAUUAAUUUGAUCUUCAAUUACUGAUAUCCUUUCUUCUGCUUGAUUGAAUCAGCUAUUGAAGCUUGUGUAAGCUUCACGAAGUUCUCGUACUGUGGUUUUCAGCUCCAUCAGGUCAUUUAAGCUCUUCUCUACACUGGUUAUUCUAGUUACCAUUUCAUCUAACCUUUUUUCAAGGUUUUUAGCUUCCUUGUGAUGGGUUACAACAUACUCCUUUAGCUCAGAGAAGUUUGUUAUUACUGACCUUCUGAAGCCUACUUCUGUCAAUUCAUCAAACUCAUUCUCUGUCCAGUUUUGUUCCCUUGCUGGCGAGGAGUUGUGUUCCUUUGGAUGUUUAGAGGCAUUCUGGUCUUUGGAAUUUUCCGCCUUUCUGCUCUGGUUUCUCCCCAUCUUUGUGGUUUUAUCUACCUUUGGUCUUUGAUGUUGGUGACCUACAGAUGGGGUUUUGGUGUGGAUGUCCUUUUUGUUGAUGUUGAUGCUAUUCCUUUUGUUAGUUUUCCUUUUAACAGACAGGCCCCUCAGCUGCAGGUCUAUUGGAGUUUGCUGGAGGUCUACUCCAGACCCUGUUUGCCUGGGUAUCACCAGCAGAGGUUGCAGAACAGCAAAUAUCACUGCCUGAUUCUUCCUCUGGAAGCUUCAUCCCAGAGGGGCACCUGCCUGUAUGAGGUGUCUGUCGGCCCCUACUGGGAGGUGUCUCCCAGUCAGGCUACACGAGGGUCAGGGACCCACUUGAAGAAGCAGUCUGUACAUUAUCGGAGCUUGAACGCUGUGCUGGGAGAACCACUGCUCUCUUCAGAGCUGUCAGGCAGGGACAUUUAAGUAUGGAGAAGCUGUCUGUUGCCUUUUGUUCAGAUAUGCCCUGCCCCCAGAGGUGGAAUCACACACCUUUGUUACUUGUUUUGUGGUAAGAGCAUCAAAGCCUAAUUGGGCAUAAGUAUCAGAGAAACUAUCGGAGCCUGUGAGCUGAGCCUGAGUAGUUAGAAUGCCAUUAGUCCGAUUUAGCUGAGCCUGCAGACGGGCCUCCUCUGCCCACCAGGCUGAGAGGGGGUUAGAACAGCUUUUGCCAAAAGGUCCGAGUGUAAAGGAAGCAAAGUGACCUCUGUAUAAAAAGUUUACAAUACCAUUUUAACGUAAGGAGAAGUAGGACUCUACUGAGUACAAGCAUCUUUAAUUGUUUUAAAAAAGUAAGAUUAAGUGGCGCAUAUUGACACAGACCAGUUGAGGAACUGAAACGACAGGAGGGUGAGGGGCUGUAGUGGAUCGGGGAGGGCCUGGAGAAUUAUAGGUAAGUUGUAGUUUGGUCUUGGAGCCAUUAGCUGACACUGGAGGUUUGAAGAGAGAAGAAUUAGCAUAUGUAUGGUCCCAGGCUGUGUGAGUCGCGGCCGCGGGAGCUUCAAGUACCGGCUCUUCAUGAAAAGAAGAUCAUUGGGGGUAACGUUAAGCCAAAGUUACCAGAGUUAGACAUUGAAUUUUUAGUAUUGUUAGGUGGGGGAGGAGUAGGCGAAGGGAGAGGCUGAGCAGAUAACAAAGGCUGUAUGGGAGAGGAAGGCUGAGGAAAAGGCAGAGAAACUGAGGAAAAGGCAGAAAACUGUGACAACUGCAGGGGGUCACGGGAUCGGCACACCACCAAGACGGCACGCACCAAGGCCCAACCACCCCAAACAGUGACGAUAACAUAAUUCCUUGCCGGGACCAGCUCCCAGAAUGUUGAACCAACAUGAUCCCAUACUUUUACAUAUACGGUUCCUUUUUCAGGAAACCAAGGACAGUAUUUUUCCACUGCCCUGAAUAGAGUGACCAUAUUUUCCAUGGUUACUCGGACCCUUCCCUGUUUCAACAGGUCUACAUCUAAGGUUCCUUUUUCAGGAGAC